rnacentral:rRNA from 1 species
GACGAACGCUGGCGGCUUGCUUAACACAUGCCAGUCGAACGAAGUGGCGAACGGGUGAGUAAUACGUGGGUAACCUGCCCUCCUUUUAUGGAUAAGCCAUGGAAACGGGGUCUAAUACCGAAUAAAGGGGGAUGGUCUCGGGGCCUAUCAGCUUGUUGGAGGGGUGAGGGCCUAACAAGGAGGGGACGGGUAGACGGCCUGAGAGGUUGACCGUCCACAUUGGGAAUGAGAUACGGCCCAGACGCCUACGGGAGGCAGCAGUGGGGGAUAUUGCACAAUGGGCGAAAGCCUGAUUCAGCGACGCCGAGUGGGGGAUGAAGGCUUUCGGGUUGUAAACCUCUUUCGCUACCGAACGGGUAGGUGGAGAAGAAGAGCCGGCUAACUACGUGCCAGCAGCCGCGGUAAUUC